rnacentral:rRNA from 1 species
AGCGAACGCUGGCGGCAGGCCUAAUACAUGCAAGUCGAGCGCACCUUCGGGUGAGCGGCGGACGGGUGAGUAACGCGUGGGAACGUGCCCUUUGGUACGGGAUAACUGAGGGAAACUUCAGCUAAUACCGUAUGUGCCCUACGGGGGAAAGAUUUAUCGCCAUUGGAGCGGCCCGCGUUGGAUUAGGUAGUUGGUGAGGUAAAGGCGCACCAAGCCUACGAUCCAUAGCUGGUCUGAGAGGAUGAUCAGCCACACUGGGACUGAGACACGGCCCAGACUCCUACGGGAGGCAGCAGUAGGGAAUCUUGCGCAAUGGGCGAAAGCCUGACGCAGCCAUGCCGCGUGAAUGAUGAAGGUCUUAGGAUUGUAAAAUUCUUUCACCGGGGAAGAUAAUGACGGUACCCGGAGAAGAAGCCCCGGCUAACUUCGUGCCAGCAGCCGCGGUAAUAC